rnacentral:rRNA from 1 species
UGGAAACGACCGCUAAUACCCCAUAUGCCGAGAGGUGAAAUGAAUUUCGCCUGAGGAUGAGCCCGCGUCUGAUUAGCUAGUUGGUGGGGUAAUGGCCCACCAAGGCGACGAUCAGUAGCUGGUCUGAGAGGAUGAUCAGCCACACUGGGACUGAGACACGGCCCAUACUCCUACGGGAGGCAGCACUGGGGAAUUUUCCGCAAUGGGCGAAAGCCUGACGGAGCAACGCCGCGUGAGGGAUGAAGGCCUGUGGGCUGUAAACCUCUUUUCUCAAGGAAGAGGAUCUGACGGUACUUGAGGAAUAAGCCACGGCUUAUUCCGUGCCUGCAUCCGCGGUAAUACGGGAGUGGCAAGCGUAAUCCGGAAUUAUUGGGCGUAAAGCGUCCGCAGGCGGCGUGGUGAGUCUGUCGUUUAAGCAUGGAGCUUGACUCCAUUUCAGCGAUGGAAACUACAAGGCUUGAGUGUGGUAGGGGCAGAGGGAAUUCCCGGUGUAGCGGUGUUAUGUGUAGAUAUCGGGAAGAACACCAGUCGCGGAGGCGCUC